ensembl:snRNA U6 U6 spliceosomal RNA
GUGCUCGCUUUGGCAGCACAUAUACUAAAAUUGAAACCAUACAGAGAAGAUUAGCAUGGCCCCUGUGCAAGGAGAACACACAAAUUCGUGCAGUGUUCCAGAUUUUU